UACGGGGGGGGCAAGCGUUGUUCGGAAUUACUGGGCGUAAAGGGCUCGUAGGUGGCCAACUAAGUCAGACGUGAAAUCCCUCGGCUUAACCGGGGAACUGCGUCUGAUACUGGAUGGCUUGAGUUCGGGAGAGGGAUGCGGAAUUCCAGGUGUAGCGGUGAAAUGCGUAGAUAUCUGGAGGAACACCGGUGGCGAAGGCGGCAUCCUGGACCGACACUGACACUGAGGAGCGAAAGUCAGGGGAGCAAACGGG
rnacentral:rRNA from 1 species